rnacentral:rRNA from 1 species
UACGUAGGUGGCAAGCGUUGUCCGGAAUUAUUGGGCGUAAAGCGCGCGCAGGUGGUUUCUUAAGUCUGAUGUGAAAGCCCACGGCUCAACCGUGGAGGGUCAUUGGAAACUGGGGAACUUAGUGCAGAAGAGGAAAGUGGAAUUCCAAGUGUAGCGGUGAAAAUGCGUAGAGAUUUGGAGGAACACCAGUGGCGAAGGCGACUUUCUGGUCUGUAACUGAC